UCCACAAAACAUAUUUCUUUCUUCCUAACCUUCUUCGACCUGUUGCUGAACCUGCUCUGCCUACCGAACCUGAUUCGCUGACCGAACCUGCAACUUCAGCCGUCACCACCCGUCUUCGACCAUAUUCUCUUUUCUUUUCUUUUUGUUUCUCUUUUCUUUUUGUUUCUCCGUGCGACCUCAAACCCAUUUCCUUCCACCGUUCCUGACCAGAUUCUCCGUGCGACCAUCGUCCCUUCGUUCCUUCCGCCAUUCCCUUUCGUCAUCUCUACGCGUCCUCAUACCCUCCAUUUUCGUCUUCAAGAUUUCGCCGUAACGACGUAACUGGAAGCGUCUUCAAGAGUUUUCCGCCGUGAGAAAUUGUUUGUCCUCUUCAUCUUUUUUCUUCACCAGAUUCCACAGAUCCUCUCUAUUGUUCGCCCUCUUCAUCUUUUUUCCGGAACUUAACGAAUCUAGAUUAGAGCUUCUAGGUAGAAUUCAGAGUUUAAAACAGGAUUUGCAAGGUAGGAGAUCCAAGUUAGACACACAGGUGAAGGUCUAUCGGGAUGGUGUUGUGGUUGCACUUCUGGUUUAUUUUGCAACAGAAUCGUAAAAGAUUUUACCUGCUAUACUAUAUUCUGUUCUAAUUGCUUGAAGAACCAACUCAUGUUUCGGUAGAAGGUGAUAUACUCGGAGGAAGCUGAAUGAAGGUGUAUUAUAAUCAAGAGCAUCACACAUUGUAAUCGGGACACAAAGACAGUGCCAACAUGAUGUUGAUAUUGAUGAUAAGGUUUGUGAUUACAGCGCAAUGGUCCCAAUAAGAGCAAACACCUCACGGUACCAAUGUCUUCAACGAAAGAUAAGUGAUCCUUACUGUUGUAACAAUUAUAGAACUAUUUUCAUGCAUACUGUGGUUGUUGUAUUUAAUUUCCUGCGUUUUAAGUUUUAAAUAUUAUCUGAUGCAAGUCACUUUGAUUAUUGUUUUGUUAAGCUCACAAUUACAGACCAUGGCAAAGGGUUCGGUUACGGGAAUUGAAUUAGCAAGCACGUAAUGUUAUUAUGCAGGAAGCUAUUGUUAUAGAUCUCUUAGUUAAUUUGUAAAUAUCUAAGUUGGUCUUUGAAAUGGUAGUAUAAUUCUCUACUGAAGCAGAUUUUGAAGCAACUUGUCUUAGCUCCAAAACACUUCUUCCCAACAUCAUUGUUAUCUUCAUUUC